UCUACCAUGCAGUCGACGCUGAAGCUGGGUGCUUGCACCUGGUGGAUGAGUGGCGAACGGGUGAGUAAUACGUGAGUGACCUUCCUUGGACUCUGGGAUAAGCCCGGGAAACUGGGUCUAAUACCGGAUACGACCAGUCCUCGCAUGGGGUGCUGGUGGAAAGGGUUUGUACUGGUUCUUGAUGGGCUCACGUCCUAUCAGCUUGUUGGUGAGGUAAUGGCUUACCAAGGCGACGACGGGUAGCCGGCCUGAGAGGGUGACCGGCCACACUGGGACUGAGACACGGCCCAGACUCCUACGGGAGGCAGCAGUGGGGAAUAUUGCACAAUGGGCGCAAGCCUGAUGCAGCGACGCCGCGUGGGGGAUGACGGCCUUCGGGUUGUAAACCUCUUUCAGCAGGGAAGAAGCGAAAGUGACGGUACCUGCAGAAGAAGCGCCGGCUAACUACGUGCCAGCAGCCGCGGUAAUACGUAGGGCGCAAGCGUUGUCCGGAAUUAUUGGGCGUAAAGAGCUCGUAGGCGGUUUGUCGCGUCUGCUGUGAAAGCCCGGGGCUCAACCCCGGGUGUGCAGUGGGUACGGGCAGGCUGGAGUGCAGUAGGGGAGACUGGAAUUCCUGGUGUAGCGGUGAAAUGCGCAGAUAUCAGGAGGAACACCGAUGGCGAAGGCAGGUCUCUGGGCUGUUACUGACGCUGAGGAGCGAAAGCAUGGGGAGCGAACAGGAUUAGAUACCCUGGUAGUCCAUGCCGUAAACGUUGGGCACUAGGUGUGGGGGACAUUCCACGUUUU
rnacentral:rRNA from 1 species